UUUCAAUGAAGAUAACUUCAGUUCUGCUACUGAAUGAAAGUGAUGUUAUUAACUACUGAGAAA
ensembl:snoRNA Small nucleolar RNA SNORD38